rnacentral:rRNA from 1 species
GACGUAGGGCGCGAGCGUUGUCCGGAUUUAUUGGGCGUAAAGAGCUCGUAGGCGGCUUGUUGCGUCGACUGUGAAAACCCGCGGCUUAACUGCGGGCUUGCAGUUGAUACGGGCAGGCUAGAGUUCGGUAGGGGAGACUGGAAUUCCUGGUGUAGCGGUGAAAUGCGCAGAUAUCAGGAGGAACACCAAUGGCGAAGGCAGCACUCUGGGACGUGACUGACGCUGAGACGCGAAAGCGUGGGGAGCAAACAGG